AUAGGGGUGCUGUUCCGAAACCAGAUGGAACAACUGAGAAUAAACCCAUUGAACCUGAUCUGGAUCAUGCCAGCGUAGGGAGCCAAA
rnacentral:ncRNA from 1 species